rnacentral:rRNA from 1 species
GAUGAACGCUGGCGGCGUGCCUAAUACAUGCAAGUCGAGCGAACAGACGCGGCGCUUGCGCCUCUGACGUUAGCGGCGGACGGGAGAGUCACACGUGUAUAACCUACCUAUCAGACUGGGAUCACUUCGGGAAACCGGCUAUAAUACCGGAUAAUAUCUUGAACCGCAUGGUUCAAUAGUGAAAGACGGUUUUGGUGGAUCUUAUAGCUGGUUCCCGGCCGUAUUAGCUAGUUGGUACGGUCACGGCUUACCACGGCAACUAUGCGUAACCGACCUGUGUGGCGGAUAGCCCGCCUGGGAACGUGGCCACGGUCCUGACGCCUAAGGUACGCAGCAGUAGGGAACCGUCCGCAGUGGGCGGAAGCAUUACGGAGCAACGCCGCGUGAGAGAUGAAGGUGUCCGGAGCGUAAUACUCUCUUAUUAGGGAAGAACAAAUGUGUAAGUAACUAUGCACGUCUUGACGGUACCUAGUCAGAAAGCCACGGCUAACUACGUG